AUUGAACGCUGGCGGAAUGCUUUACACAUGCAAGUCGAGCGGCAGCGCGGGGGCAACCCUGGCGGCGAGCGGCGAACGGGUGAGUAACAUAUCGGAACGUACCCAGUCGUGGGGGAUAACUAUCCGAAAGGAUAGCUAAUACCGCAUACGACCUGAGGGUGAAAGGGGGGGAUCGCAAGACCUCUCGCGAUUGGAGCGGCCGAUAUCGGAUUAGCUAGUUGGUGAGGUAAAGGCUCACCAAGGCGACGAUCCGUAGCUGGUCUGAGAGGACGACCAGCCACACUGGAACUGAGACACGGUCCAGACUCCUACGGGAGGCAGCAGUGGGGAAUUUUGGACAAAGGGGGCAACCCUGAUCCAGCCAUUCCGCGUGAGUGAAGAAGGCCUCGGUGUAAGACGUCUUUCGGUCCAGGAACGAAACGGUAGAGCUCUAACAUAGCUUGCUAAUGACGGUACCUCGAAGAAGAAGACACCGGCUAACUACGUGCCAGCAGCCGCGGUAA
rnacentral:rRNA from 1 species